GCAGGCGUCAGUCGGGCGGGCUCUCGCUCCCAAACGACCUCCUUGGGCCGCGCCGGAAACGAGCCAGGGAGGUUUCCGGCGUUGUCUCCAUUCUGUCUUGUUUUGCAUAUUUUUUUAAAAAAGCUAAGCUCGGGGAAAUUGGAUAGCCAGAAACUCUAGGUUCCUAUCCGUCGGGGUUUUCUUGCUAAAGCUGUCUGGCCCCUGGCAUUUGUCACCCCGUCUUCUGUGGACGCGUGGUCUUCCCCAGAGCACGCGCAAGGCUUUCCUGUGUCCAUUUUCCCUUUUUUUCUUUUGUGAAGACAAAGGAGUGCUGCACUUUAUAAGGAGCCAACCCAGCAUAAUACCCAGGAUUUAAAACAUGCCAAGAUACUCACUUCCAAAGAACAUGAAGAGCACGAAGAGCACUGGAUAGAAAUAGCUCAAGCAAACAGCAAGGGCAUACUCAUGCACUACAGCAGAUAUGGCAAAGACAGCCAACAUGGCAGCAGACUUGAACCUCUUCGAGAAAAACUAAGUCAAUAGACCAUGAUAGCCCCAGGACCAAGAUGGAGGAAGGAAGAGAGUGAACUAGAUAUUAGAAAAGGAUGAAGAACUGAUGGUAACUCAGAUGGGCACCUCUGAAAAGAUCAGUGAGCGGCAUGUCCCAUUAAAAAGAAAGCAAAACAAAACCUUGGAGAAAGACAAAAAUUCCCCAUCACUUUAAGACUUUGUAGGUUUUUAUAACAUCAACUGGAAAAAAAACAAGAUGGCACCCAACAGAUCACCACAGAUAAAAUCAUUGGUCAAAUAAGCAUCAUGGAGGGCUGGGGUUCUGGCUCAGCGGUAGAGCGCUCGCCUCGCACAUUCGAGAUCCUGGAUUCAAUCCUCAGCACCACAUACAAAAAUAACAAGUAAAAUAAAAGGUUUUUUAAAAAAAUUAAAAAUAAAAAAAUAAGCAUCAUGGACACCACAGGAGGCAGAUGCAUCUUAAUGGGAUGUGGAAGUUCCCGCACUGCCCCCUUUCCCUGCCACAAAAAAAAUUGCUGAAUCUAUUAUGAAAAAGAAUGAGCACCAAGCCUUGAUAAUACUAUCCAACUCCAUGCCAUUUCAGCAACUUGAAAGCUUGAUAAGUGUUCAAAAAUUUGUCCUGAUGUUUGUAUUCUUGAAGCAACAUCUGAACUCUUUCCAAUGAAGCAAUAAUCCUAGCUAUCCCAGCAGCACUGCAGCCACACCAGGGCUGGAGCAAAGGUUGGAGCAUUGACAUAUUUUUUUGUGAAGGCAAGAUAGGACCUCACACAGACCAAAUGUAAGUGCUGGCAGCAUCAUCUCCCAUGUUAGCCCAUGAAAGAAUCUGCCCCACAAGCUUGGAAAUCCGUUUGAUUCUUUACAGCUAUUGCCGAUUCUGAAGGGAAAGGUUAUGGUACAUUAUUCAAAGCCAGGCAGUAGACACACAAGCAGUGCCUCAUUUCACCACUUAUAAUGUGAGGUGACAUAUCUUGUUUUGAAGAUGACAGGAUCAGUGGCAUCUUUGCAUGAGUUUCUGAAUCCACAUGAUACUUUAGAAUUUUUUAAUCUGUAAUUCCAUCUGAGCCUGAUGUGAGGAAUUGCUUUUUAAUAAAUUUCCCAAUUUCUUCCACUGUUAUUGGU